rnacentral:lncRNA from 1 species
AAAGACGGUUGGUCGUAAUAUUUUAUUGGUUUUGUCAUAUGACUUGAGUAUAGCAUGACCAAUAUCUAAAUCAUCUUGUUUUAAUCAUGUUGUAAGUAGAUUGUAUCGGCAUAAGCGUUUGUUUCCAUGUCAUUUCUUUUAGUAGUAAAAUAGUAAUUAGGAAAGUAUUGUUUCUAUUUAUAGCACAGUAAAUACGCUGUAAUAAAGCGCAAUGCAUAACGGAAAAUACAGUUUUUGUUAAGCUGGUGAUAUAAAAGAGCUUACAAUAUUAUAGGUUUUCAUAACAUGUUAGCAUUCAGAGGAUAAAUUGAAUAGCACACUGAUAACAAAGGAGAGUUUUAAAGCAAAAACUUAAGCAAGAGAAAUCCGCACUUGUUUCUUCGUUGAGCUGAAAGUAUGAGCUGGGGCAACUCCUGGGGAAACAGUUGGUCAAGCAGUAGUUUCAGUGGCGGAUCUGGAGGUGGUAGCUGGGGCGGGGGCUCAUGGGGGAGCAACUCCAGCAAUAAAGAACCGGAGGGCAUCCAUAAUUCUCCGUGUAUUGCCGGAUGCGGAGGUUGGGGUAACAGUGGACUGAUGAAGAGCUAUUAUGAUGAAAGUUGCUCAGGUUGUAGACAUGACAGGGCCAAAUCUACGUGGGGUAGUCAACCAUCUGGUGGUAACCCUGCAUUGAAAGUUGCAGCAUUGUUUGGAAUCGGUGCUAUGGCAAAGAAGAGUCUUUGGGACUGAAAAAGAACUUGUCUUUAACCCGAAUCCUCAAAGGACAACUUUAAAUGUCCUUGUGACAAAAUUGCGGUAUUAUGUUCAUCUCUAAAUUCAAAAUUGCAAUAAUUUUCCGGCGGCAGUAUAUUCUGUGCAGUUCAUGUAGAAUAUUCUACAAUCGCUGGAAAAAAGUGCUACACAUGAGCAAGCAAUAACUGUCAAGUGAAGUUUUUCAACCUCAUUGGGAGAGAUGAUGUUGUGACGUUAUAAUAAACUUUGUAACAUAUAAAGUAUUAUUGGGCAUUGUGCAAUAUGGUGCAUUUUCUUUUAUUCAUUAAGUGCCAUGAACAAUUCUUUUAUAAAUGAGGUCGUGAUAUUAACUAUGUUUUUGAUAGAAGCAAUUUUAUUUCACAGUCAUACUAAUAACAAUGAAAUAUAUAUAAAUGCAGAUUAUAUAUAACUUAUUGCUUAUACUUACAACAUAGUUCCUGUUAAAGGUGUUAAAAAUCUAAAGAGCUAUGUUCAUAGACAAGUUUAUUUUAAUUAAAAGUUUUGAUUAAAAUAAUUUCGUAGUUAUUUACUAAUUCACACUUAACUAAAGCAGUAUGAUAUCCAUCUAUUAGAUCAAAUGGCAUGAUAUAUAAACAUACGUAGCAAUUACGUAUUUGUGGAAAACCUUACAUUAUUGUAUGUGCAUAAAGUUGUUUUAAAAUAAUGACAAUUUCUUCGCGUUAAUGAUAAUUCGGAAGUCAUUUCCCUUUUUGGAAAAGACGUAUAUAUGUUAUAUUGAUUGUUUCUGUACUAUGCUUUGAUAUUUAACAUAAUUAUAAGAUAUCCAGAGAAAAAAAACAACAUGUAUUAAAGUUAAUCAGAGACAA